rnacentral:tRNA from 1 species
GGAGAUUUAGCUCAGUGGUAGAGCGCUUGCCUAGCAAGCACAAGGCCCUGGGUUUGGUCCCCAGCUCUG